rnacentral:rRNA from 1 species
UACAUGGGGUGCAAACGUUGCUCGGAAUUAUUGGGCGUAAAGCGCACGUAGGUGGUCUGUUAUGUCAGAUGUGAAAGCCCUCGGCUUAACUGAGGAAGUGCACCUGAAACUGGCAGGCUUGAGUACGAAAGAGGGUCGCGGAAUUCCCGGUGUAGAGGUGAAAUUCGUAGAUAUCGGGAGGAACACCGGUGGCGAAGGCGGCGACCUGGUC